rnacentral:rRNA from 1 species
GAACUUGAGUACAGUAGAGGUAGGNGGAAUUCGUGGUGUAGCGGUGAAAUGCUUAGAUNUCACGAAGAACUCCGACUGCGAAGGCAGCUUGCUGGACUGUAACUGACGCUGAGGCACGAAAGCGUGGGGAUCAAACAGGAUUAGAUACCCUGGUAGUCCACGCCGUAAACGAUGAAUGCUAGCUGUUAGCGAUAUACUGUUAGCGGCACAGAGAAAUCGUUAAGCAUUCCACCUGGGGAGUACGCCGGCAACGGUGAAACUCAAAGGAAUUGACGGGGGCCCGCACAAGCGGAGGAACAUGUGGUUUAAUUCGAUGAUACGCGAGGAACCUUACCUGGGCUUAAAUUGCAGUGGAAUAACGUGGAAACAUGUUAGCCUUCGGGCCGCUGUGAAGGUGCUGCAUGGUUGUCGUCAGCUCGUGCCGUGAGGUGUCGGCUUAAGUGCCAUAACGAGCGCAACCCUCAUCGAUAGUUACUAACAGGUUAAGCUGAGGACUCUAUCGAGACUGCCGACGUAAGUCGUGAGGAAGGUGGGGAUGACGUCAAAUCAGCACGGCCCUUACGUCCAGGGCUACACACGUGUUACAAUGGAGGGUACAAAGGGCAGCUACCUGGCGACAGGAUGCUAAUCUCAAAAACCUCUCUCAGUUCGGAUUGGAGUCUGCAACCCGACUCCAUGAAGCUGGAUUCGCUAGUAAUCGCGCAUCAGCCACGGCGCGGUGAAUACGUUCCCGGGCCUUGUACACACCGCCCGUCAAGCCAUGGGAGCCGGGGGGACCUGAAGUAUGCAACCGUAAGGAGCGUCCUAGGGUAAAACUGGUGACUGGGGCU